rnacentral:misc_RNA from 1 species
AACGCACGAGACCUGCGGACCUGCGGAAGGAUCAUUAUCGAGUUAUCCAACUCCCAACCCCUGUGAAUUAUACCUUUAAUUGUUGCUUCGGCGGGACUUCGCGCCCGCCGGGGACCCAAACCUUCUGAAUUUUUUAAUAAGUAUCUUCUGAGUGGUUAAAAAAAUGAAUCAAAACUUUCAACAACGGAUCUCU